UCUCUUCUUGAUUGAAGUUUAAUUGCAGAUAAUUUAUCAAUUGAGCUGAAGAAGCCAAAUGUUUGUAUUGGAGAUAACAGAGUCCGUGUCCAUGUUUUAUGGUAUAAUUUUAGUAACAUGAGUCCAUGUCCACGUAUUGUUGUAUAGUUUUAUAGAAUCAAAACAAAGAGUUUGUCCACGUUAUCUAAUAUAAAUACAUUAACAUCACAUAUCCACACAUUACUCAUCACUCAUUAACACAUCACCCGUCCACAAAUCACCCAACCACGCAUCACUAGUCCACAAAUCACCCAUCCACAAGUGUUCUUUCCAUUAAGGGCAAAAUUGUCCACAAUUUGCUGCUGGCUCACAACAAAGUGUGUCACAUGUAAGAAGUGUCUCUAGGUGUAAUAGAAAGUCAAAAAGUGUCUCUUAGUGUAAUCAACUCUUUUCUUUAACAUGACUCUCCCGGUUUGGUUUGAUUUAAAUUCGGUUUAACUCCCAUUUUGCUUACAAACCAUUUCAAAAUUUCGGGUUUCAAUUUAGGGGGAAAAGCCUGAACCAACUUGAGAUGUUUGAUUAAAUUUUGUAAAGGGUUCCAACCUGUCAAACUUGACUAACCUAAUUGAAACCAUCCACGAAACAAAAUUUUCUUUUGUAUUUGCUGAAAGGAAUUUGAUCCAUUCAUUGCUAGUAUGAAGUAGAGUGACACACGCGCACAUACACACACAAUCACACGCUCGCAACUUAUAAUAUUCAGUCGCUCUC
rnacentral:lncRNA from 1 species